GUGGAGCAUGUGGCUUAAUUUGACCCAACGCGGGAAAUCUUACCGGGUCCGGACACACUGAGGAUUGACAGGCAAUAUUACUUAAAUAAUUUUAACCUCGGUUAAUUUUAUUUUUGUAUGUAAAUAUGCUAGUCCUCUCAUGAUUAUGUGAUAGGUGGUGCAUGGCCGUUCUUAGUUCGUGGAGUGAUCUGUCUGCUUAAUUGCGUUUCACUAAGAGCUUAUUAAAAACGUAUGUCUCGCUUGUAUUUUUGACCCCCAGUCAUUCUUUUUCAAGCUUUUUUGACAUUUAAUGUUGAGUUAAUUCUCAACUAGUUAUUAAAGUGAGAUUAAGAAAGAUUGUGCGUGUUGUCAUUUAUACAAUAAGCAGCAUACAAUUAAGCUCUGAAAGCAACGAACGUGACCG
rnacentral:rRNA from 1 species